rnacentral:lncRNA from 1 species
CGUGACUCUGCCCCAUUUCCUGUGGGCAGUGGAGCAUCUUCCGUUCACUGUCUGUCAGCCUGGCUCCUUUGCUCCUUCCGGGCCCUCCCCACCCCUCCUCGGGGCUGUACUCAUUCACCCCGUUGGUGUUGACUCUUCAAAGACCCCUCCUGGGCUUCCCCUAAGUACUGGGGUUGAACUCAGGACCUUGUGCUUGCCAGGGAAGAAAAAUUCUUUAAGCAAAAAGGAAGGUUCAAUAAUCCAUUUGCACAAACAGUAAGAAUGCCAGAGGAGGAGCUAAAUUUUCCAGACCUUCAGAAAAACUGACAAACUGAUUCAAGCUUGAACUUUCAGAUCUGACAUCCUUAUGAAAUGCUUUUGAUACUGUUUUGGAAAUGUUCAUUACAACUGAAGCCUCUAAGCCUGCUCCUACUACCCUAGGUCAAGCACUUGUACUGUGUCAGCACCAGAGC